UCCCAAUGAGGAAGCGAACCCAAAAGAUAGGAAGUGCCGUAUGACACUCUUAAACGCAGCAGUUUG